rnacentral:rRNA from 1 species
AUACGUAGGGUGCAAGCGUUAAUCGGAAUUACUGGGCGUAAAGCGUGCGCAGGCGGUUUUGUAAGACAGAGGUGAAAUCCCCGGGCCCAAACUGGGAACUGCCUUUGUGACUGCAAGGCUAGAGUACGGCAGAGGGGGAAGGAAAUCCGCGUGUAGCAGUGAAAAGCGUAGAUAUGCGGAGGAACACCGAUGGCGAAGGCAAUCCCCUGGGCCUGUACUGACGCUCAUGCACGAAAGCGUGGGGAGCAAACAGGAUUAGAUACCCUGGUAGUCCACGCCCUAAACGAUGUCAACUGGUUGUUGGGUCUUCAUUGACUCAGUAACGAAGCUAACGCGUGAAGUUGACCGCCUGGGGAGUACGGCCGCAAGGUUGAAACUCAAAUGAAUUGACGGGG